rnacentral:rRNA from 1 species
AUUGAACGCUGGCGGGAUGCCUUACACAUGCAAGUCGAACGAGUGGCGGACGGGUGAGUAAUAUAGCGGAACGUGCCCAGUAGCGGGGGAUAACUACUCGAAAGAGUGGCUAAUCCCGCAUACUAUUGUAUCGGCCGAUAUCGGUUUAGCUAGUUGGGGGGGUAAAGGCUCAUCAAGGCAACGAUCCGUAGCUGGUUUGAGAGGACGACCAGCCACACUGGGACUGAGACACGGCCCAGACUCCUACGGGAGGCAGCAGUGGGGAAUUUUGGACAAUGGGGGAAAGCCUGAUCCAGCCAUCCCGCGUGUAUGAGAAGGCCUUCGGGUUGUAAAGUACUUUUGGCAGAGAAGCGGUAUCUGCAGAAUAAGCACCGGCUAACUACGUGCCAGCAGCCGCGGUAAUAC